rnacentral:rRNA from 1 species
UACGAAGGGUGCAAGCGUUAAUCGGAAUUACUGGGCGUAAAGCGCGCGUAGGUGGUUCGUUAAGUUGAAUGUGAAAGCCCCGGGCUCAACCUGGGAACUGCAUCCAAAACUGGCGAGCUAGAGUACGGUAGAGGGUGGUGGAAUUUCCUGUGUAGCGGUGAAAUGCGUAGAUAUAGGAAGGAACACCAGUGGCGAAGGCGACCACCUGGACUGAUACUGACACUGAGGUGCGAAAGCGUGGGGAGCAAAC